AUGCUUCCACUUCCGCGGCAUCUCUUCCCCUCCACCACCUCUAACUUCUUUAAAUUCCCUAACUCACUCCGGCCGCUCUUAUCUCCGGCGACGCCCGCCGCGAUGAAGGGCGCCGACCUGAUAAACGUGGCCCUCCCGGAGGAGCUCCUGGAGGACGUGCUCAGACGUGUCGGCGGCGAAAAGCUUGACCUGGACGCCUGCGCCCUCGUCUGCCGCCGCUGGCGCCGCCUCGACCGCGCCACGCGCCGGUCCGCCAAGCUCCCGGCAUCCGGGGUUCACGCGGACGAGGUGGUAGGCCUCUUCGUGGAGCGGUUCCCGGCGCUCGCAGACGUCUCCAUUGACGAGCGUCUCUCUGCCGACGCCGCCGUGGUCUCCGCUCCUGCGUCUAGAUCGCGCCGCCACGUGAUUAGCAGUAUCCCAUCUGGUAGCCGUAGCAGGAUGUCCCGGGUACCACGUUUUGCAGGGAUUUUAUUCCCAUUGCCAUCGGAACAGACACCCAGUGCUGAUGGGAUAGAGAGCUUUUGUUUAACUGAUGUUGGCUUAACUAGUCUCGCCAGAGGCUGCAAAGGGCUGGAAAAACUAAGUCUAGUAUGGUGUUCUGCCAUAUCUUCAUCAGGCUUAGUGAGAGUAGCAGAGAACUGUAAGAAAUUGGCUUCUUUGGAUAUCCAGGCUUGCUAUAUUGGAGAUCCAGGACUAGUUGCUAUUGGGGAAGGCUGCAAUCUACUUAACAAUUUGAGCUUGCGCUUUGUUGAAGGCGCAACAGAUGAAGGCUUGAUUGGAUUAAUAAAGAGCUGUGGACAAUCACUGCUCUCUCUUGAACUUGUUAAGAAUGAAGGAGUGAUUUCUAUUGCUAAAGGAUGUCACUUCUUGAAAAAUUUGAAGCUGCAAUGUAUUGGUGCUGGCGAUGAGGCCCUAGAAGCUAUUGGUUCAUGCUGUUCAUUACUAGAGAUUUUAUCGCUAAAUAACUUUGAAAGAUUCACAGACAGGAGCCUUUCUUCCAUCGCGAAAGGGUGCAAGAAUCUUACAGAUCUUGUUCUCAAUGAUUGCCUGUUACUAACUGAUAGAAGCCUUGAAUUCGUAGCACGCAGCUGCAAAAAAAUAGCACGUCUUAAGAUCAAUGGUUGUCAGAAUAUGGAAACUGCUGCACUGGAGCACAUUGGACGAUGGUGCCCGGGCCUUUUGGAACUCUCUCUAAUUUACUGCCCAAGGGUCCGGGAUACUGCAUUUCUGGAGCUUGGUAAAGGCUGCACCCUUCUCCAGUCUCUUUAUUUAGUUGACUGUUCAAGAAUAGGUGAUGAUGCUAUGUGCCACAUAGCUCAAGGUUGUAAGUACUUGAAAGAAAUUUCCAUUCGACGUGGUUAUGAGGUAGGAGACAAAGCAUUGAUAUCAAUUGCUGAGAAUUGUAAAUUACUUAAGGAGUUAACGCUCCAAUUUUGUGAGAGGGUAUCUGAUACAGGGCUGGCUGCAAUUGCUGAAGGUUGCUCUCUUCAAAAGUUAAACUUGUGCGGGUGCCAAUUAAUCACUGAUAAUGGACUGGCUGCCAUUGCGAGAGGAUGUGGUGAUCUUGUCUUUCUGGACAUAAGUGUUCUCCCGAUGACAGGGGACAUGGGGCUGGCAGAGAUUGGCCAAGGCUGUCCCCAGAUUAAAGACAUUGCACUGUCGCACUGCCCAGGGGUCACCGAUGUUGGUCUGGGACACCUGGUCAGGGGGUGCUUACAGCUGCAGUCAUGCCAGCUGGUGUACUGCAAGCGAGUGACCAGCACCGGAGUGGCGACGGUCGUCUCGAGCUGCUCUAGGUUGAAGAAGCUCCUCGUUGAGGAGGCAAAGGUCAGUGAGAGGACACGUCGGAGGGCAGGACCCAUCUUAUCAUUCCUCUGCUCUGGGCUUUAG
rnacentral:rRNA from 1 species